UCAACGAGAUGGGAAGCACAAAAGUUCUCCUGUAGGUUCGGGAAGCUUUGCGUUCAGCUUUGGAUGCAAGGAGUGAUCGAAAGAUAUGAAUCUGGCAUCACGUGACUUCCUGCUCUUUCCUGAAGUCAAAAUGGCCACAAAAGGUAAACAUUUUGAGUCAAUUCAGGGAUGAAGGCGGUCACACCAACAUAACCAAAGACACCUCUGAAGGACAAGUUCUAGAACUGCUUCAGAAAGUGGCAAGAAUGGAGAAGGCCCAUUUCCCCUACAUGGUCACACUGAGAUUAAACGUCUCACCUGAAGCCAAACAUCAGGACAGAGCUGAGCUUUGAACAAGCCUGGCUGGAUGCUACAAUGCCUGUGACCCGUCCGCGGCAUCACACCUGGCUAACGGGAAGCUUUGAGAAUGUGAAA